GACGAAUGCUGGCGGCGUGCUUUACACAUGCAAGUCGAACGGUGACGAGGAGCUUGCUCCUCUGAUCAGUGGCGAACGGGUGAGUAACACGUGGGCAAUCUGCCCUUCACUUUGGGAUAACUGCUUGAAAAGGUAGCUAAUACCAGAUACGAAACCCUGCGGCAUCGCAGGGUUUGGAAAGUUUUUCGGUGAAGGAUGAGCCCGCGGCCUAUCAGCUUGUUGGUGAGGUAAUGGCUCACCAAGGCGACGACGGGUAGCCGGCCUGAGAGGGCGACCGGCCACACUGGGACUGAGACACGGGCCCAGACUCCUACGGGAGGCAGCAGUGGGGAAUAUUGCACAAUGGGCGAAAGCCUGAUGCAGCGACGCCGCGUGAGGGAUGAAGGCCUUCGGG
rnacentral:rRNA from 1 species